rnacentral:rRNA from 1 species
UGUGUAUCAGUACAUGGCAUAUCAAUAAGCGGAGGAAAAGAAACUAACAAGGAUUCCCUUAGUAACGGCGAGUGAAGCGGGAAGAGCUCAAAUUUGAAAUCUUCAAGGUUCUACCUUGACGAAUUGUAGUUUAUAGAAGUGUUUUCUGUUAGUAGAGUGGCAAAAGUUCUUUGGAAUAGGACAUCAUAGAGGGUGAGAAUCCCGUAUUUGGUCAUUCCUUCUAGCGUUGUGAUACACUUUCAACGAGUCGGAUUGUUUGGGAAUGCAGUCCAAAAUGGGUGGUAAAUUUCAUCUAAAGCUAAAUAUUGGCGAGAGACCGAUAGCGAACAAGUACCGUGAGGGAAAGAUGAAAAGAACUUUGAAAAGAGAGUUAAACAGUACGUGAAAUUGUCAAAAGGGAAGCGUUUGACACCAGUGUUGUUUUUCCGAAAAUCAAUUACGAAUGUUUUGUUUUUGAGGAGUUAUGACUUCAUCGGCUUGCUUCUCUCUUUACGAAACUUUCUUAAUGCACUUUUCGGUUAACAAGUCAACAUCAAUUUCUUUUGUUGUAAAAGGGUAUGAGGAAGGUGGCUUUCUUUUCGGAGAAAGUGUUUAUAGCCUUGUAGCCUCUGCAAUCGGAGAGAUUGAGGUCUGCAGCGUAGAUCCUUCGGGGUUAGAUACGUUUGUGCUAAGUUAUAGCUUUUCAUAGACAACUUGUUGACUAUGUUAGUCUUGUAGCUUACUCGCUUAUGCUAUUUUACCUACGCUUAGGAUGUUGACAGCAGUAUAGACUGU